rnacentral:rRNA from 1 species
UACGUAGGGGGCAAGCGUUGUCCGGAAUCAUUGGGCGUAAAGCGCGUGUAGGCGGCCCGAUAAGUCCGCUGUGAAAGUCCAGGGCUCAACCCUGGGAUGCCGGUGGAUACUGUCGGGCUCGAGUCCGGAAGAGGAGUGUGGAAUUCCUGGUGUAGCGGUGAAAUGCGCAGAUAUCAGGAGGAACACCAAUGGCGAAGGCAGCACUCUGGGACGUGACUGACGCUGAGACGCGAAAGCCAGGGGAGCAAACGGG